UACGUAGGGGGCAAGCGUUGUCCGGAUUUAUUGGGCGUAAAGAGCGUGUAGGCGGCUUUACAGGUCCGUUGUGAAAACUCGAGGCUCAACCUCGAGACGCCGGUGGAAACCGUAAAGCUAGAGUCCGGAAGAGGAGAGUGGAAUUCCUGGUGUAGCGGUGAAAUGCGUAGAUAUCUGGAGGAACACCGGUGGCGAAGGCGGCAUCCUGGACCAAUACUGACGCUGAGGAGCGAAAGCCAGGGGAGCAAACGGG
rnacentral:rRNA from 1 species